GCCAAGGUGGCAUAGUGGUUUGAGCGUUGGCCUACAGCUCUGGAGAUCAUGGUUCCAUUCCCUCUUGGCC